CGUGUGAGCGCAAGGAAAGGAGCGGGAGAGGGACGGGAAGGCUCUCUGUUUGUGCAUGUGUGAGAGGGGGGGACAAAAUGAGACGGCAUAAAGGGAAGGAAAGGAAAGUGUCCUGCAGGGAAGAUGCAGUGACAGAUGGAAGAUGCACAUUUCCAUUGCCUUGGGAGGAUGGAGUCAUGAAAUUUGAUGGGACAACCACAGAGGGUGUGUGCUUCAGAGCAUUUAAAGAAUGCACCUCAAAGAUGUGGAGGUGGAGGACACGCAGCCGUCUCAACUGUUGUAUUGUAUUGUAUCUAUAUAUUGGAUAUAGUGAAUGUAAUUAAUAAAAAUGGAAAGUGACCAUGGAUUUUUUUUUGUAAAGCAUGAUGUGUUUAACUGAAACAUGUAUAUCUGUAAUUCCAGAAGGUGGAGGACCUGUUAAAAUAAAAACAAGUUUUAAAUGCA
rnacentral:lncRNA from 1 species